CACACAGAGGCAAGUAAACUACAUUCAACUGUUGCAGGACUUGUAGGAAGAAUUUUCACUUGUGAGCAUUCGGCAAAAAAUUCCUAGACUAUACUAGAAAGUUAAGGGAAGCUAAAUUUCUGAUGUGUGAUUUGCUACGUCACCUUCAGACCAAAUUGCAAUCAGUGUUUUGGCAAACUUUAGGGUCUAUUUUAGUCAUCAUUGUCAAGUGCAAAUGUCUCAUUACUUGGAGAAAUUUGCUUUAUACAUAUUUCCAAUUUCUUGACGUUUCCGUUAUUCUUCUGUCAUCAAUCCUCUUGUGUUCAGGUAAAGAGCUACUGGUUGAAUUCUGAUGGUGCUGAUGUGGUUUUCCACAUGAUUGAUAACUUCCUUCUCUAGUUUCGACAAGUUAAUUGUCCUCCAACCAGCAACUAGGCGAUGGAAAAACUUUCAAGUCCUCAAUAGAAUUAUUCUAGCAAUAGAAUAUUCUACUCAUUGUUUCUAGCAUAUUUCAUGUACUUGCAAUUGAAUUUGAAUGCAUUGCUUCCCGGUUAUCUCUGGAGAUAUAAGUAACAGAAAGAAGUCACUGGUGAUGAAGAAUUUUUGGAUCCCAAAUCCUAUAAUACCAAUUCAAAUCAGAUUCCUUACAGAUAUGAUUAGUUAUUGUUAACUAAAAUAUUUUGUUGUUUAAUUAGUUAAAAUAUAUUUUUCUUCUAUAGUUCUUCCCGUAAUUUUUCUCGUAAUGCUGUAAUUAAUUAGAAUUCUUACUAUAAGGGUGAUUUCCUCAUUUGUAUAUAGAAAUUCUGUAUAUAUACUCCGUCUGUAAUAACAUCAGAGACUUAAGAAAAUAAAGUAGAUAUUUUUUCCAA